GUGGGGACGUCGCGAGAGCGCCGGAGACUCCACUGCCGUAACAAUAAUGUGGGCAAAUUAAAAGCCACGAUUUAUCGGCGACAUCAAGAGCCGAUGUCUCGAUUUAAAUAAACAACUUAACCGAGAUGCAACAUCACUGAAAUCCCAUCGCCUAAGGUCCAGUGGGUGGGUUUAGGUUUCAUCCGAGCGAUGCCCAACUAUCCCGGAUGAACCUAUGGGGUUGUCUUGUGUUUUCUUUAAGUUUUAACGUUUUAAAGUUUUAACGUUUUUGCAAGUUUUAAUCUAAGAAGAAGUUUAUGAUUGGAUCAGACUAUUUCAACAAAUUUUGUGAAUGAAGAUUCCUACUGUUUUCUUCUGCUUUUGAGAGUUAUUUCAAGCUUCAUUUCGGCGGAGCUUGCCUUGGUUGGUUGCACGUCGAAGCUUUUCUUUGUGCGGCGCGCAUGUGGAUGUGCCGCGCCUCUCCUUUUGUCAACACUCCGGAUAAGGCCCGGUGAAGGACUGCGAGGUUGACCGGUGGACGUGCAGCCCGCCAGCUGCGUAACAGUUGGCCCGCUGCGCCGCCAUCGUCCAGCACGCCCUGGCCUGAGCCGGCCUCAACUCAUCACCUGUACGGUAUUCCGGAACGCCUCAGGUAGGCCUGAUAGUCGGAGGUCCUCGAGUAAGUGAGGUGCCUACAGGUGUACGGACAGUGUUUUUAAAUAUAGUGAUAUCCCAUGGUUGUUACGGAGUGACAAUUAACCUGACGGACCAAAGCGCGACCUGUCUCCCUCCAUAGGGUGUUCACCUACCUAUGGUUGUACUUGUUAAUUAAAUGUUAUAAGAAUAUACAUUGUACGGAUUCAAAGGGAGUUUUCUUUGUCUCAUGCUCACCGGUCUAUAACAUCUAGCUGUGCCCUUCAGGUAAACACCACUUUAUAAAUUUUCUGAAACAUAUCAGU